CGUAGGGGGCGAGCGUUGUCCGGAUUUACUGGGCGUAAAGCGCGCGCAGGCGGUCCGUUAAGUCCGUUGUGAAAGCUCCCGGCUCAACUGGGAGAGGUCUUCGGAAACUGGCGGACUCGAGGGAGGCAGAGGAAGGUGGAAUUCCCGGUGUAGUGGUGAAAUGCGUAGAGAUCGGGAGGAACACCAGUGGCGAAGGCGGCCUUCUGGGCCUUUCCUGACGCUGAGGCGCGAAAGCGUGGGGAGCGAACCGGAUUAGAUACCCGGGUAGUCCACGCUGUAAACGAUGCUCACUAGAUGGGGGGGGUAUCGACCCCUCCGCGUCGAAGCUAACGCGAUAAGUGAGCCGCCUGGGGACUACGGCCGCAAGGCUA
rnacentral:rRNA from 1 species